CAAAAUGUGGCUAAAUUAGCAAAGCACCUCCCUUACACCGAGGAAAUACCCAUGCAACCUGGGUCAUUUUGA
rnacentral:tRNA from 1 species